rnacentral:lncRNA from 1 species
AGUGACCGCCACCGUUGCCCGGGGAUGGGUCCUUGAGACUUGGCUAAGCAGGCACCCUGUGUGAGCUUGGUCAGAGUCGGGGCUGAGACCAGUCCUGGCCAGGGCAGUUAACAGGAAGGUCUCCGGAGGCCGGGAUUCGCGGAGGGUCCAUCAGGAGGAAGAAACCUCAGACAGAUCUCCGGGGAGACAGCGCGGGAUCCCAGCCUCAGGCGUGCGCGGACAGUGUGCGGGAAGGGAGUGUAUCCUGGUGUAUGACAGCAUAUAGUAGAGACCAGUGUCAAUUAGGGCCUGUGAACUGAGACAGGGUGACUGGCUAAGUCCACAACCCAUUAGAAACCCAGAAAUAAUCAAAUCAUGGCUCCUCCUUGAGUUAUUGGGAAUAAGUAAUGCUUCUCAAUAAAGCUUCGUGUCAACAAAUCUGAACAUAUAACAUCUCAGCUAGAGCAAGUUACUAAAAAUAGGCUCAAUUUGUACCUUGCAGUCAUGCCUUCAUAACCACUUUUCAAUUAAUCCUGCUUAAUUCAGAGAAUGUAUAAAUAUGUAAUUUUGCAUCACUUUUAAGGCAGCCAUUUUAUUUUGAAAUGCAACUAACAUUAUAUGCAUAAAUUCAAUAAAUAUAAAGCUGUUUUC